rnacentral:snoRNA from 1 species
GCAGUAUCUGGGAGGUCAUUCUCCCCGGCUCUUCCUGGUGGUGGCAACAGCACAAGGUUUGGCCCCAUGACAUACAGUCCCUUUCCACGAUGUUGGAGAUGAAGCAGACCUUGAGCCUGCACCUGCAUGUUCCUGCAGCUUCCCAGAGUCCGUGGAGGAUGAUUGAGAUGAACCACACAGAAGACGCAC